AUUGAACGCUGGCGGCAUGCCUAACACAUGCAAGUCGAACGGUAACGAUGGAAGCUUGCUUCCAGGCGACGAGUGGCGGACGGGUGGGUAAUACUUAGGAAUCUGCCCAGUAGUGGGGGACAACUCGAGGAAACUCGAGCUAAUACCGCAUACGCCCUAUGGGGGAAAGUGGAGGAUCUUCGGACUUCACGCUAUUGGAUGAGCCUAAGUCGGAUUAGCUUGUAGGUGGGGUAAUGGCCUACCUAGGCAACGAUCCGUAGCUGGUCUGAGAGGACGAUCAGCCACACUGGAACUGAGACACGGUCCAGACUCCUACGGGAGGCAGCAGUGGGGAAUAUUGGACAAUGGGGGCAACCCUGAUCCAGCAAUGCCGCGUGUGUGAAGAAGGCCUGCGGGUUGUAAAGCACUUUCAGUAGAGAAGAAAAGCUUACGGUUAAUACCCGUGAGUCUUGACGUAACCUACAGAAGAAGCACCGGCUAACUCCGUG
rnacentral:rRNA from 1 species